rnacentral:lncRNA from 1 species
CAGGGGUUUCACUUUAUCUGAGAGAAUCCCUCAGUUUUCCUCCUCUUCUCUGAGAGCUGCAGCUUCCUCUAGCAUCCUCCUCGGCCUUAGGCAUCCUCCAGAUCGACUUUCAUCAUCCUUGCCAUCUUCCUGCACUCCCGGAGCCAAUCUAGGUUAGUUCUGGAACUUCUUGUCAUUUUCCUAUCCUUUCUUCUUCGUGUUCCAUUCGUUUAGUUUCCUCAAGGGUUUGUUUGCUAUUUUUCCCAAUUCUUCCAGGAUUUUUGUGGCUUCCAUUUGAUCCACAAUGUCUUCUGAUAUCUCC